rnacentral:lncRNA from 1 species
AUGUACACUGUCAACCCUAAAGAACAGAAACAUUACAAUAUUUUCUACUAAGCUUCCAAAAAUUGGCUUCCUCCAGCCAACUCUUCCUGUGCUGCUGCCUCCUUCAGGCUUGGAUUAAACAGACUUGCUCUGUGAGAGUCAAGGGAUUUAAAGGUCCCCUGGAGAAAUCCUAGAGGGCAGAAAAAUAGCAUCACCUCCUUCCUGAGACAUCUGAGGAGCUGUGCCUCGGUGAUGCCAGGAUAUGCUGUGAAGUUUAAGAGGGAGUCAUGGCCAUGCUGCAGGAUUCAUGGAGCAUAUUACCAGAAAGAACUCUACGUAGAAUGUGGUCUACUGGAGAUGGUUACUUUCCUUCCUUCCUGGCCUGGCCACUUCCUGCUGCCCUCCUCUUGUAUUUUGAAAAGGAAAAACUUGAAAAAUAAUGAAUUUUCCCUUUAAAUUGAGAUAAAAAACCCAAAUGAUACUCAAGCCUGCAGCUUAAUGGCAAGGAAUCAAGGAGAAAAAGUAGUUGCAGAUGACUCAGUCCAUUUUGCUGAUAACUUUUUCUCACACCAAGGGCUAUAACUCCAUAAAAUCACAGAAUCUCAGAGGUACUUACAGGAGAGCAGGAGCUCUAUUGCUGGAGUGUGGGUUGACUCUCCAUCCCAUCCCAAGGGGACAGAGUGGGGGCUCCCAUGCCCAUUUUCAAGGCACUGCAUGACUGUAGGAUGAAAACUGUGAAAGUGUAGAGGAAAGUGAAGAAGUACCAGGAGAGCAAUAAACAGGGCACUUAUCUCCUCCUUAAUCACAGCCCAGUCUUCGGGAGGUCUUCAGGGAGAACUAAUGGAUUAAAUACAGGUAUUAAAUGAAAUCUUGGAACCAUUUCCCUCACCUGGCUGGACUGAGAAGUUGAUGGUUCUAAGGGAGUGCUCUCAGUGCAUUUGAGCUAUGAGAGACAAUCAGAGGAGCUGGGGUCAUGGUUGACCCUCUACAACCACGGGAUUGAAUAACCUGGGCUUUUGCUGUUGCCAGGGACAAUCUUGAAAUUUCCUGAAUAUAUCCUUCAGCAAUUCCCAGGUGGACUAAACGAGAUGCUUCUUCUCAAAUUGCUUUCUGCCUGAGGAUGAGGUCAGUCUGUGUUUUAUUUCACUUGCUGCAGUGCUUGACCAUCUCCAGAUUAUGGGGCACAUGAGCAAAGAGCCGCACCUCUUCUGCAGCCAAAGACUAUAGCAGCAUCCCAAGGGAUGCCUUGAUCUCUUAUUGAUAUGACCUGCUGUGCUGGUUUUGCAUGGAAGUUACUUAAGAGGAGGGCACAGAUACUCAGACACAGGGUUUUUUUUUUUCUUUCUUUUAUGAGAACUUUUUCUGUGAGUUUCUGGGACUAAUCGGAAAGCUGAUUUAAUAAUUGACAGCCUGGGAACUAAUUAAAAGUUACUUCGCCUCCAUGAAUCACGUUGGUAAACUGAAAUAUUUUUCAUUUUACUUCUGUCUGUGGAGUAGGUAACAACUGGCCCGGCCCCUUUUCAUGUGGCCUGGCGAGGCAGAGGGGCUUGGGAGCUACUGUCCCCCCUCCCACCUCCCCCCCCACAUUUUCAUUUAAGGGCUCUGAUGGCCUGGUGUGGAGAUGGGGAGAGAGAGAGAAAGAGAAGCUGUUGCCGCCAGCUGGAAGCAGCCGUGGGAGGAGAAGCUUUUUGGCACAGCUUGAAAAUUCUUGGCAUGUCUCCAACAAGUCCUUGUCCAGCUUCCUUCACCUUUUGUGUGCAAUUUUAGCUUUUCUAAUACUUGGAUAAGACUGCAGAUUUCUUGACUUCUUUUGAAUGAGAGGAAUAGAGCAGAAAGUAUACUAAAAUCAGUAAAGUAAGAGCCAAGUUUUCAGAUGGGAAGAGAUUGAAGAGAUGCUAUGAAUAGGUUGGCUGAAAAACUUUUUUUGAAAGCUAUAGGAUGGACUAGACUACACUUAAAUUCUUUUAAAUUGUGAAAAAAUCUUGGAGGGGUUGAAGCAUUUGACAAAAAAGAUCCUGAGGGAAUGGGGGUCUCUUCUGGAGACAGGAAAGAUGAACAGAAACAUUUGAUGGAAGAAGAGAUGAAAAGAACUUUUGUCUUUGAACAGCUUGCCCUUGAAAGUAAUACCCUAUGAGUUUUUUUGACAUGACCCAUAACACAGCUCUGGAAAGACUGUGAAGAUAGGAGGAAUUCCACGAUUCGCAGAUUUUCCUGGGCAGAUGCAAAUUGUGAAAG